CCUACGGGUGGCAGCAGUGAGGAAUAUUGGUCAAUGGACGCGAGUCUGAACCAGCCAUGUCGCGUGAAGGAAGACUGCCCUAUGGGUUGUAAACUUCUUUUAUAUGAGAAUAAACUGAUCUACGCGUGGCUUUCUGUAUGUACCAUAUGAAUAAGGAUCGGCUAACUCCGUGCCAGCAGCCGCGGUAAUACGGAGGAUUCGAGCGUUAUCCGGAUUUAUUGGGUUUAAAGGGAGCGUAGGUGGUUGGGUAAGUUAGUGGUGAAAGUCUGAGGCUCAACCGUAAAAUUGCAGUUGAAACUGGCAGUCUUGAGUGCAGUAGAGGUAGGCGGAAUGUAUGGUGUAGCGGUGAAAUGCUUAGAUAUCACGAAGAACUCCGAUUGCGAAGGCAGUUCACUGGACUACUACUGACACUGAGGCACGAAAGUGUGGGGAGCAAACAGGAUUAGAUACCCCAGUAGUC
rnacentral:rRNA from 1 species